GACGUAGGGCGCGAGCGUUGUCCGGAUUUAUUGGGCGUAAAGAGCUCGUAGGCGGCUUGUCGCGUCGACUGUGAAAACUUGGGGCUCAACUCCAAGCUUGCAGUCGAUACGGGCAGGCUAGAGUUCGGUAGGGGAGGACUGGAAUUCCUGGUGUAGCGGUGAAAUGCUUAGAUAUCGUCAAGAACACCUAUAGCGAAGGCAGCUUACUAGGCUGUAACUGACGCUGAGGCACGAAAGUGUGGGGGAUCAAACAGG
rnacentral:rRNA from 1 species